ACUCGAAGUUGAAGGGGAAGAGUAUUUUUUGUUUUUCUUUUUGGUUUACAAAGAACCUCAUAAGAUUGGUGCAGAUUUCUGUCUCAUAAUCUGCUGUCCACACUGCCUGCGGAGCCUUGAAAACAAUAUAAGGGUCAACGAACCCAAUACUAUUGUCAUUUCUCAUUCUGAGCUCUCUUAUUUGGUGCCUGCAUAUAUACAUACAAAUCCUAAGUGUGUAAGGAUUAUAUACAUGUAAUUAAAGAAGUUAGA
rnacentral:lncRNA from 1 species